rnacentral:misc_RNA from 1 species
UUAAUUUAUUUGUAUAGAUACUCAGACACUUAAAAUAGCGAAUUUGUGAUAACCUCCGGUAGGCACCUAACGGCUACAGCCCCGCCCUGGGGCCGCCUACCGAAGCAACAAAAGGUAUAUUUAACAGUGGGUUGGGGAGUUGUAAAGCUCCUGUAAUGAUCCCUCCGCUGGUUCACCAACGGAGA